rnacentral:lncRNA from 13 species
GCUGGAACCGUGUUAUAGAACAGUGGUAGAGAACAGGAGAGCAAGGCAAGGGUGACUGUACAGCAACCUGCUGGCGCUGCUACUUUAAGUUUGUUGUACCCCAGGGAUGGAGCUGUGGAUUUCAAACAGCACAUGGAGGAAAGAGGAGCUACUGCAGACAUUGAGAAUAUGGAGAAAAGGUGUGUCUAAUCAUUAAAUAUACCGUAUAAUACACACACGUAUGCAUUCAAGCAAUCUCUCUCUCUCUCACACACACACACACAGCAGUGAGCAAAUUUGUAAUGCACAGCAAACCUAUGUGAAGCAUCAUGUAUUGUGUGGAACAAAGGGAAUGUAGACACACACAAACACUGACACACACAUACACACCCAAACCUAUGUGACUCAACAUUGUCACAAAGGGACACAGACACACAGACACAGAACAAAUGGGUAGCAGACUGCUUGCUGUUCAUGCCAGUAAAAGAGGGCAUUAAUUAGACUGCCAGCAUCAAUACAUGUCCAGCAUUUUCAAUCAGCCUAAUUGUAUUCCUCACAGGGAAAUGGACAGUUUGGUUAUAAAUUAGACCUUGUUCAUUUGUUUACCCCCGAUAGAACAAUGCUUCCUGAUUUAACUCAUUGGAUACAUACAGGUUUAUUCUACACAGUUAAUUUGUACUCACAGCCACACAUACAUUUGCAUAUAGACUAGAAGGCAUCAUCCUGCACCAAAUCUAACAAGCUCAAUUCUACAACCAGAUUUCUAUUGGGAAGCUACCAGCCAAACACAACACAGUACAAAGCACUGAACCAACACUGAAUCAAUAACUCAAACAUGAACUCCAUCAAAUAGGGGAUCGAACACUACUCCACUCUGAUAUAGUGUAUGUAUGACCCUGUACCACUACUUACAUCCCCUCUCUCUCUCUCUCUCUCUCUCUUUGAUGUUUAAUACAACAUACCAUGGAGACUCAGUCUUCUCUAGCCCCAUGGCACUAUGUAUGACCCUGUACCACUACUUACAUCCCCUCUCUCUCUCUCUCUCUCUCUCUUUGAUGUUUAAUACAACAUACCAUGGAGACUCAGUCUNNNNNNNNNNNNNNNNNNNNNNNNNNNNNNNNNNNNNNNNNNNNNNNNNNNNNNNNNNNNNNNNNNNNNNNNNNNNNNNNNNNNNNNNNNNNNNNNNNNNNNNNNNNNNNNNNNNNNNNNNNNNNNNNNNNNNNNNNNNNNUCUCUUCUCCACAUUUCUGUGUGUAACUCCGUGGACACACACACAUGCAUACACACAUGGGUUUAAUGCAUCACUGCUACGCUCUCUCUCUCUUCCUUUUUUUGUUCUUGAAAACUUAAAAUUAUAUAUUUUUAACCGUGUAACUGAUUUGCGAGUGGGCGACAGUUUCACAUUUCUAUAAACUAGCUGAGAGUGAAACAUGAAUAUUUUAAGCAGCUUAGCGCUGAUUUAAAUAUAUUUACUGGGAGUCUGCUGGCUGUGGGCCAGGACAGAGUGUAAUACCCACAAAGCUGCCACUGCUAAACUCUAUUUGAGGGAGCUGAUCAUUCGGACUGGCAGAACUAAGGCAAAUUAAGUCAAUUAACUCACUGAAAUAUAUUUCUUAUACAUUUUACAACCCUUUGAAAAAUAAUGCAGGGUGAUUUUAAGAUAGCUAGCCUAGCGUUGAGAGGAGGGUGAUUAUAUAUACACACAGCAAAGAAAGAAUUCAAGAGGCAGAAAAUAUCUAGCAAUGAAGGGUAAAAGCAGGGGCCAUUUUGAGAAUGUUUAAGUAAAGAGGAGAAGAAGAAGCAGCCUCUGGUUAUAAUGUGCAGGAGAUAACCGGGGAUGCCAUGCAUUUUUAAACAGAGAGCACAUAAGACAUAGGACAUGUAUUUAAUCAAAGACACACUGUGACUGAAGAAUUUAGGCAGGGAGGUGUUUGUGCCUAAUAUUUGCUUAUUCACAUAUCUUCUAAUGCAAAAGCACGGAAGUGGAAAAAUCCUGUCACCUCUUCCGGGAGAGAGGAGAAGAGGGGAGAAUGCUGCAUGGGAGGCUGCAGGAGUAGAGAAAGUGAUUAUUAAUCAGCCUUCCUCCUCAGUCAAAACACACCACUCCUCUGGAAAUCCCUUAUGGCGUGAAAGCUCCUGAAGAAAAAUGAUAGCUUCUAGCUAUAAUGUCACUUCAUCCAACAGAUGUUAGUUCAUGCAUUUAAAAAAACAAGCAGGAUAGGAUUGCAACAUGGGGAAGUUGUAGGGACUGUAAUACUGUCAGCCUGUUGCAGUAAUGACUAGGUAGGGAGAGAAGAACACCUGAGCAGGAAGUGGACUUUAAACCAGGACGUGAGCAGCAAAUGCAGCCAUUGGAGGGUUACAUUUUCAGACACAGCUAUGGUGUCAAUUUCAUAUCAUCUGGUUGAAUUCUCCUCAAUGAAGGAUGAUAUAAUGAUAUUUAGCCUACAGCCAUCCUGUGCCAACCAUGCAACAUUACAGUAUAGUAUGUUGUCCUCCACAAAAAUACCUAUCAGACAGGAGACACAAAUCUGUAGUGUCUUCCUAUAAUCAUAUAAUCAUAAAAACAUCCAUCCUACGCCACUCCCCACACCUACAAGCCACACAGAUUCAAUUAGCAUAAAAUAUGAUAGGCCUACGAGGGAAAUUAAAUCAAUAAUGUUCGACAAUGAUGCCUGUCAAAAUGUCAAGCUUCCACCCAUUGGCACCCCCAAUGGCAACUCUCUCUCUCAUUAAAAACACUCCUUGCAUUAUUUGACCUUGACCCCUGUCCCACUGGCUCCCAUAUUAAAUGAUGGAGGAGCGUUUAAAACACUUGGCAAUAUGCUUACAGGCGCAGAUCUCUAGUUCACGCCAAGGUCCUCUCUGACGCUGUGUAGGCCUCUCAUCACCUAGACUUUCUGAUGUGUGUGUGUGUGUGUGUGUCUGUCUGUCUGUCUGUCUGUCUGUCUGUCUGUCUGUCUGUCUGUCUGUCUGUCUGUCUGUCUGUCUGUCUGUCUGUCUGUCUGUCUGUCUGUCUGUCUGUCUGUCUGUCUGUCUGUCUGUCUGUCUGCCUGCCUGCCUGCCUGCCUGCCUGCCUGCCUGCCUGCCUGCCUGCCUGCCUGCCUGCCUGCCCCUCAGGUUUAUCACCAGCCGUGGCUGUAGUCUGUGAUUUAACAGCGACAACGUUGGUUAAAUGUUGCUCCUUUGGCAACAGAUAAAUGUUUUACUGAUGCCCACAUCUCAAUGUCAUAAAACACCCCUCUCCUUUGACUAGCAUAGGAUGCAUUAUACUUGCCACCGACAGUGUGAGCUACAGUUAUCACACCAUUAAGACAUUCAAUUGAUUUAAAAUUGAUUUUUAUACACCAUUUUUGACCCGAGGACCCAUCUUCCCAGGCAGUUAUUGGUGCGAGAAGUGCUGAUGGCAAAAUAUAUAAACUCCAUUUAUACGGAGGAAAGCAGAGAAAAGCAAGGCUCUCCUUCCGUUACAUUUAGUAAAUAAACACUUAAAAUGUCCGUUCCAGCAGAAGCAAUCCCAACGCUGGAGUCAAGCACUGAUUUCUGAAAACAUUCAACAACUUGAUAUCACCCCCUCAACCACAUAGAAACACAGCAACAUCUCCGCUUUAAAAUAUAUCAGCCUCUCUACUAGAUGGCUCCAUCAGGCAUUAUUAGCUUCUUCUAACUGGGGUCAAACUCAGUUCAGCCAACAAUACACCAGCAGCAAGCCUGUAAUUGAUAUGAUAGCUUCCUUACUAGCCCUGUGAAGCUGACCUCUAAUAUGAAGAUGCACAUCUCUGUCUGUGUACUAAUUAAAGCCGGGGUACGUGUGGGUCCCCAGGCCAUGCAUGCCUCAGGAAAGUUAUUGUAAACAUAUAUCACAUGCCAUUCAGGAACAGCUUCUACCCCCAAGCCAUAAGACUGNNNNNNNNNNUCUCCACAUUUCUGUGUGUAACUCCGUGGACACACACACAUGCAUACACACAUGGGUUUAAUGCAUCACUGCUACGCUCUCUCUCUCUUCCUUUUUUUGUUCUUGAAAACUUAAAAUUAUAUAUUUUUAACCGUGUAACUGAUUUGCGAGUGGGCGACAGUUUCACAUUUCUAUAAACUAGCUGAGAGUGAAACAUGAAUAUUUUAAGCAGCUUAGCGCUGAUUUAAAUAUAUUUACUGGGAGUCUGCUGGCUGUGG